GGAAAAGAUUUAGACCUUGUUAUGGGAAAAUUGGAUGCUGACAAGUAUUUUUCCCAAGAUCACAUUUUUGGCAAUGACAGCAACUACCACAUUGCAGAUGAAAAAGGAUAUUACAACCAGUCUCGGAUUGAUCAAUCCAAAACAUAUUGAAAUAAGCCCUGAUCAUCCCAAUAUCUUCUUCAGCUCUUUGCCAAGACCUAAUGGAGGGGAUGAUAAGCUUCAAGUGGACACUUCAACCUAUAUUAACUCCUCUGAUUGCAGAAUUAAAAGUAAAACAGUUCAAUUUCCCUCUGACAUUAGUUUAUGGCAACUUGCAAGUUAUUGGAGAAUGUUUUUUGUUUGCAAGCAAUAUGAUGGGGCCUUUGCAAUAUGAACCAGUACGAUCUAGCAAACAUUCAGUUAACAGACUAUUCACACAGUUACAUGUGCAAUAUCCAGAACAUGAACAAGAAAGGAUUAUACUGUACAGGAUCUUGUAAGUGGUCAGUCCAAGUUAAGGCUACUAUUUGUCACUGUGGCUUUAGGGAUUGGUGUUGACGUGCAUGACAUCCGUAGGAUUAUUCAUAUUGGACUCCCUUAUAUAAUUGAGGAGUAUUUUCAAGAAGCUGGUAGAUGUGGAUGAGAUGGACUUCCAGCAUCUUCCACAAUAUACUACAACUCAUCAUCUUUUAACAUUUCACCCCGCACGAAAGAGCUAAUUGUAGCUGUGGCAGAUAAAUGCAAAAGGGAAAUAAUUCUGAAUUACUUUGGUUACAAACUAGCAAAUAGGAUUAAACCAGAGCAUACUUGCUGUGAUUUUCAUCAACAGAAAUGUAGCUGUGAUGACUGUGUUUUAAGUUCAGCUGCUGAAAUGUUAGAAAAUGCCAAUUCUAGUGUAUUGGA